CAGUCGCCGCGGUAAUACGGAGGGAGCUAGCGUUGUUCGGAAUUACUGGGCGUAAAGCGCGCGUAGGCGGUUACUCAAGUCAGAGGUGAAAGCCCGGGGCUCAACCCCGGAACUGCCUUUGAAACUAGGUGACUAGAAUCUUGGAGAGGUCAGUGGAAUUCCGAGUGUAGAGGUGAAAUUCGUAGAUAUUCGGAAGAACACCAGUGGCGAAGGCGACUGACUGGACAAGUAUUGACGCUGAGGUGCGAAAGCGUGGGGAGCAAACAGGAUUAGAUACCCGGGUAGUCCCUGUCUCUUAUAC
rnacentral:rRNA from 1 species